UUACCUUGCCUCUCCAUUGUCACACUCUGGCUUUCUGUAUCCCCUUUUUCAUGAACAACAAAUUUCUAAGCAAAUCCAAGGAAAAGAAAAUCCGAUCUAAAAUAUUGAAUCGAACUCAUCAAAUCGAAGGGAUGCACCUCGUUUAGGUCUUGCAAAAAAAUUGGAAAAUAGCGAACGAUCGACAUUCAAGAUAUCACAAAUUCAUGGUAGAAUUCUCAUAAAUCGUCUUCCAUCUAAAACCCUAUUUUCGAUAUUUCGAUCUCCAGAUGGUGGGGGAAAAGAUGAAUCUCUUAAUGACAAUAUUCUUGAAAUGGAACAUGGAAAAGGUAAAAUCUCUAGUCUUCCAUUGUAGUGGCAUUUAGAGAGGCUAGGAGCAAGCACUCUCACUGAUAGUGGAAAAGGGAAUAACCAAGGCAGCAAGAAGCGGAAAAUAGGCAAGGUACUGGUGCGUUUUGAGUAGUUGGUUGGGGUUAUACUGCAGGAUAGUGCAUAUAUUCAAGAAUUACAAGCUACUUUAAAUAUGGGAAGAUUUAUAGGGUUUCUCCGUUUAUGGCACAUAAAUAUUAUGUACAUUUUAAAAACGGUUUUUUCAUGAAAUACCCUCGAGGUUUCAUAUAAUGCACCAAAUACACAUGCGCGUUUCAAAAUACAUAAUAUACCCCUAUUUAAACUUAUUUGCACCAAAUUCCCCUGAACUUAACGGAAGUCUAACGCCGUUAGUAAUUAACCUCUAAUUAAUCUAAUUAACCCCUUAAUUAACCUAAUUAAACCUAAUUAACUCUAAACUAUCCUAAACUAAUCCUAAUAACUACCUAACUACAACAAACACCAAUCCACCAUUGUCGUCCUAAUACCAUAACCACCGUACCUCCAAACACCUUCGAUGGCCCUUGCGUCACGUCGGCAUACUCCGGCUCCCUCGCUUGACAUGUCAGAGCCGCCGACGCACCUCACCGUCCCCUAUUCUUGCUCCCUAUUCAUGAACCCAUGCCUCCACAACCCAACCCAAUUCUGUUAACUCUCCACGAAGUCUCUCAUUUUUCAUCUCUCCACCUUUACCCCAUCACCAUUAACACUAAAUUACGUGUGGGCUUCGUCGAAGUCGAACGCCGUUGCUGCUAGUAGUGGAGGGAGUUGUGAGCUUUACUACGACAAUGGUGGAGGAUCUGGGCUUCGAUUAAAGGACAUCCAUGGUUAACUACCAUGGAAUUGGCUUGAACGAAUGAGAGGGGAAGGGAUACAUUACAAGAAAUCAGAUAACAAAUCAAACCCAAUUCUAAUAUGAAACCACACAACACCAAUUUACAAGAACAAACCAAAAUAAAAUUAGAACAUCCCAAAUUCAACCGCCUACAAAGUACCGCCGGGAACACAAAUUUUGUUUUUCCAUAAUCCCAUUAUUUGUGCUUAAUCAUCGCAAAUCAUCACAAAUCAUCCCAAACACCAAUUUUGUUUUUCCAUAAUCCCAUUAAUAGUAUGGGGAAAGAGAAGAGAAGAUGAAGGUUAGGGUUUGAUCAAUUAGGGGUUAGGGUUUCUGGGUCUUCAGAUUGGGUGUUGAGGGUAGAAAUGAGCGAGCCGAUCCACCAUGGUUGGGCCCACAUGAAGUAGCGUAGGUUGGUUUGCCGGCGGGGUUUACGGGGGACUUUUGAUUAAGGGUGGUGGCGGUUGUGGGUAGAAAUGAGCGAGUCGAACCACCACCGUAGCUGCCUCUGCUGCGGUUCCCCAGGUAGGUGGAGAUGGGCGUGGAAGUUCGGUAGUGGUGGUGGUGGGAGGUCGGUAGUGGUGCCGCCGGUUGGGGUAGUGGUGUCGGGUUGGGAUGCUGGAGAAUGGUGGUGUUGAAUUGAGUGAUGGUGGGAAGGAGGAGGAAGAGAAGCAAGGAGAUGAAGUUAAUUAGUUAAUUGGGGGCUAAUUAGUUAAUUAGGAGUUAAUUUUUUAAUUAAUUAGGUUUAAUUAACAGAUUUGGGGUUAAUCACUAACGGCGUUAGACUUCCGUUAAGUUCAGGGGUAUUUGGUGCAAAUAAGUUUAAAUAGGGGUAUAUUAUGUAUUUUGAAACACGCGGGUGUAUUUGGUGCAUUACGCGAAACCUCGAGGGUAUUUCAUGAAAAAACCGUUUUAAAAAAUAGAGCUAUUUUUUCAAUUAAUGGAUGUAGUUUUAGGAACAAUAUUUUUUUUACUACUUAGUGAAUUGUAAUAUAUAUAUUAUGCUUAUGAAAUUAAGCUACUUGAAAUG